rnacentral:misc_RNA from 1 species
GUGGAUUUUUCCUUUGAGUUUAUGUCUAAGAAAAUAGCACAAAAAAAAGAAAAAGCAAUCAAUUGAAAGAAAGAAACCUUCAUUGAAAAUGUAAAGGAUGGAUAAUUUGGAGAUAAUAUUUUUUUACUCACUCACUUUACUUCAUUUUUGUAAUUUUUCCAAAUUUUUUUUUUCUUUAGCUUGACUUAUGAACGGGGACACAACUUCUU